ensembl:snoRNA SNORA70 Small nucleolar RNA SNORA70
AGGAACCGUGCAUGUCAAGAACCACGGCUACAGGCUCCUCGGUAGUGUAUGUAGCCUGUUGCCUGUACUGGUUGCCUUAAGGGACCUUGGAGACAGCC